rnacentral:rRNA from 1 species
GAGCGGCGAACGGGUGAGUAACACGUGAGUAACCUGCCCCUGACUCUGGGAUAAGCCUGGGAAACCGGGUCUAAUACCGGAUGUGACCUCCUCCGGCAUCGGAUGGUGGUGGAAAGUUUUUUCGGUUGGGGAUGGGCUCGCGGCCUAUCAGCUUGUUGGUGGGGUAGUGGCCUACCAAGGCGACGACGGGUAGCCCGGCCUGAGAGGGCGACCGGCCACACUGGGACUGAGACACGGCCCAGACUCCUACGGGAGGCAGCAGUGGGGAAUAUUGCGCAAUGGGCGGAAGCCUGACGCAGCGACGCCGCGUGGGGGAUGACGGCCUUCGGGUUGUAAACCUCUUUCAGCAGGGACGAAGUUGACGUGUACCUGCAGAAGAAGCGCCGGCUAACUACGUGCCAGCAGCCGCGGUAAUACGUAGGGCGCAAGCGUUGUCCGGAUUUAUUGGGCGUAAAAGAGCUCGUAGGUGGCUGGUCGCNGUCUGCCGUGAAAGCCCGCAGCUUAACUGCA